UCUCUAGCUUCGCGCGCCUAUCCUCCGGCCUUUCCCAGCCAAUCAGCUGCUCUUUCAGCUAUACGUGUAGCGUCACACGUAGCCGGCAAGAUGGCGUCAGUAAUAGGAUCUGAGCUUCGACCUUUAUCAAGGGAUGAAAAGAACACAGCUUGGUACCCGAUGCCCGGUUGAGGAUUAAGAUCUGGUUCCUUAGACGCUUGGGAGCAGUCAUCAACGUCCUUCAGCCACCCAAACGACAACUCAAGAGAGGCUUUCCACUACGGAGAGAGAAGACCUCACAGUGGCCGAACUAAGUAACAGCCAGCGUUCAUCCACAUGUCCAGAAGCUUCGUCAGGCCCUAGCUUUCACCGUCAAGCAAAGCUGCCCUGUCCAGUCUGCCACUCUGAGGAAGAUCUUUGAUGGUCAGUCUACUGUCAUUGGCUUCAUCCAUCCCAUUGUCUCCUCUUCUCUUGCACCAUUGUAAAAGCCUUUUGUCAUUGCUGCUGGCCAGGUCCUCACUUCUGUGACCAUAUCUUCCACUUCAUUCUUCCAAGCUAUUUCACUGAAACCAGAGACCAAGCUAUUCCACGUUCUCAGGUUUCUUAUUCCUUCGCCCUCACCAAACCUGUUCAACUUCAGUGACAUUUGCAGGCUUCCAGUUUGAUUCUGCUUCCUUCUCCUGUUUUGACUGUCUACCCUGAACUACACAUCACUCAUUUCAAGCUCAGUCUUCUCGCCAGCUUCCAUUUGUCUCUGUCCUGUCCACCAGAGACAGCCUUACAUACUUUUCACCAGUUUGUUAACCAUUAGUGCUUAAUGAAUUCUCACAAAGCCCAGUCUUGAACAAUAAAUAUGUUGUUUUAAUUCAACUUUUAGUUUCUAAAAGAGUCACAAGUUACUUAGCUGGGUGAUUUUUGGGGGGAGAGGGGAAGGGCAAGGUUGAGAAAGGGUCUCAUUCUUAUACUGCAGGCUUGCCUCGAACCCACUACACAGCCAGGCUAGCCUAAAUCUUUUGGCAGUCUUCCUU
ensembl:lncRNA